rnacentral:rRNA from 1 species
UGGAGGACCGAACCCACGUCUGUUGAAAAAGACGGGGAUGACUUGUUCCUAGGGGUGAAAGGCCAAUCAAACUCGGAAAUAGCUGGUUCUCCGCGAAAGAUAUUUAGGUAUCGCCUCGGACGAAUACCUUGGGGGGUAGAGCACUGGAUGGGCUAGGGGGUCUCACCGACUUACCAAACCUAACCAAACUCCGAAUACCCAAG